rfam:Bacteroidetes bacterium GWA2_32_17 gwa2_scaffold_1377, whole genome shotgun sequence.
AAAAAGUGGAAACCAGAAACCACUAAAAAAAACGGAGCCUGCCCACAUAGGUUUUUUAAUUACAGUGGCGUAACCGAAAAGCCAUAAGAGUAGGAAAAUA